AAUUAUUUUGAAUAGUUUCUUGACAGUAACAUGACAAGGAUGAAAGUCACAUCUGAGAACGGAUCGGAAUAGCCCAUAAGCAUAGCAAUUAGGUACCUACCCCUGUAUCUAGUACUAUGGCGCUUACGUAUACUGAACUACGUAUUGACAAAAAAAGAAAAAUAAUUUAAUAAGCAGAGCAAUUAGGUACCUACCCCUGUAUCUAGUACUAUGGCGCUUACGUAUACUGAACUACGUAUUGACAAAAAAA
rnacentral:lncRNA from 1 species